UGUACUGUGUAUGUGCGGACAGAUAAUAUUGUACAAUGACAGUCAAUUAGGUCAUAACAUAUUAUCGUGCUGUGAAACCCUAAUUAUUAAACUCAGUUAUGAGAUAUGACUGAGUAGUGACUGUUUAUAUGAAGGUUACUGUGUAUAAGAUAUCGGUAAUUAGAAGAAAACCCUAAUUACUGUUGUAUGUCGAUAAUUAGGACAAACCCUAAUUAUUACAACCCUAAUCGGUUGAAGUUAGAGAUUGUAAUGACUGUGUUAGAACAUACACAGAUAAUUAGAGAAUCCUAAUGGUCAAUUAGAAACCCUAAUUGAUGGCGUUAAGAAACCCUAAUUAGAAAAC
rnacentral:lncRNA from 1 species